GGCCCCUCUGCUCUAGGUACGCACCAGCCCAUUGGCUUCUCAUUCUCUGUAGGGUUCUGUUGCCGUCGACAGAAAUCUCUGUUACCCGGGAGAGCCUCAUGCUACCUCCCGUCUGGCUGACGUCCUGCCCUCAGGCCCAGGUCACCAGUGGGCACCUCUGGGAAGUCUUCUCUGAGCUUCACCUCUUUCGUGGCCCAAUCUGGGUUAGGUGCUUCCACCGUCAUACCUGCCAGGCUUCUCUGUGUCAGGGCACAUGUCAUACCACUUUGAGAGAACGAACGUGCGUGGAACCUUCCUACUGUGGGACAUUGUGGCUCUCCACACGAGCUGUCUCUUGGCUGUCAGCGUCCUCUCUGCUUUGCCAGAAGUGUGGGAGACACAACACCUCUGGAAGUGGGCUUCAAUCAAUGAGGAUGGAAGCUUGGCGUACCGAUACCAGCUCUCUUGCCCCAAAGUAGAUAACUGGGAGGCUCUGAUCCUGUGUUGGCUCCCAGAGUUUCCCUGAGUUGAAUGAUGUUCUAGUUGCCCUCCGUCAUAGCCAGCUUGAUAAAGCACACUUCAUUGCUCUAUUUCUACUCCUGUCUCGCUUCCCACAUGCCUACCAGUGUUCUCCUUCAUUCCCAAAGCAAUUACUUGAACUUAAAUCCUCUGUCACAGUUGGCUUCUGGAAAAACCCAAACUACAACACUAUCAAACUCACUAGAGAGACAUGCUUCUGGCUCUCCCUUCUUGCAGGAGGUUUAACAUCCAUGAUCGUGCCCACUAAACACCUGUAGUAGUCCCCAGGCAGUGCGACAACAGAAGCACCUGCUCACACAUCCAAAUGUCCCCCCAAGUGAGUGCAGUCAUACUACUCCCAGUCACAAAUCACAGAUCUACAAGAUAAACCAUUUGAUUCUAGUUUGAAAUAUAUGCCUGAAUAAUUGAUUUAAGUGUGUAAUUUUAAGCUGAAAAGAAUAAGAUAAUUCCACCAGGUUUUGCAAAUAAUAUUGCAAUGGUUACAAUGAUUUAAGAUUUACUGAUUUAUGUCUCCA
rnacentral:lncRNA from 12 species